GGCUUUGUUACAGACCGCAUUCAGCCUGCAUUCAGAUGGCAUGUCAAGAACUGUAUUACUCUUGUCCCCUCGUCCAACUCUUAGACUCCCAUAAUUAACCCAGAGGAAGUUGUAAGUGAAAUAAUUAUGAGGUCCUUUCAAAGCUAGACACUUGACACAUGUGUUAUAGAAACCUUAUAAAAAGGAAACUGGAUUCUUGUAAAUUUUAAGAUUAUAUUAAUUCAGACACAAAGACACUCCUAUGAAUUUUCACAAAAAUACUCAAAUCACAGAGUUUGUUCUGCCUGCCAUUGAGAUGUGGGGGAUUUUGCUGUGUGCACUAAAUUCUCUUCUUCUUCUAUUUAUUUACUUAUUUAUUUCCUUCUUCUCCCCAAAGCCCCCCAGUACGUAGUUGUAUGUUUUAGUUGUGAGUCCUUGUUGUGGCAUGUGGGAUGCCACCUCAGCAUGGCUUGAUGAGCAGGGCUAUGUUCGCACCCAGGAUCUGAACCGGUGAAGCCCUGGGCUGCCAAAGCAGAGCACAUGAACUUAACCACUUGGCCACAGGGCAACCCCUACAUUCUCUUCUUUAACUGCCCAUGUCACGAGAGCACAAGACUAGAGUGAAGACAAGCACGGGAGACCAAGGAUGAGAGUUUAUUGAACAUGAUGGUCUCAUCCACAUUCGAAAGCACAAUCCAGGUGUCCAGCUUCUGCAGGAGGAAGUACAGAAGCUCCGAGAUUAGGCCACACAGGGUCGAAACCUGCUCCUGCCGCUGACUGGCUGUCUGUCCUUCAUCAGGUCAUUUAACCUCUUUGACCAGUGCCUGGCAUAGAGCCUGGCCCGUGUAAGGAUGGUCGUGAGCAAUGGAGUGCAGUUUGUCCAGGAACACCCAGGAGAACACACCCGAAGCCUCACUGGAGGACUCAGCCUCCUCGUCUGGUUGGUAAAUAGCCAUCCAUCCAUCCGUUCACCAGGAUGAC